rnacentral:rRNA from 1 species
UUAGGAAUCUUGCGCAAUGGGCGAAAGCCUGACGCAGCGAUGCCGCGUGCGGGAUGAAGGCCUUCGGGUCGUAAACCGCUUUCAGCAGGGACGAUAAUGACGGUACCUGCAGAAGAAGCCCCGGCCAACUACGUGCCAGCAGCCGCGGUAAUACGUAGGGGGCGAGCGUUGUCCGGAUUUAUUGGGCGUAAAGAGCUCGUAGGCGGUUUGGUAAGUCGGGUGUGAAAUCUCCACGCUCAACGUGGAGGGGCCACUCGAUACUGCCAUGACUCGAGUCCGGUAGAGGAGUGUGGAAUUCCCGGUGUAGCGGUGAAAUGCGCAGAUAUCGGGAGGAACACCCGUAGCGAAGGCGGCACUCUGGGCCGGAACUGACGCUGAGGAGCGAAAGCGUGGGGAGCAAACAGG